UGGGGAAUAUUGCGCAAUGGGCGCAAGCCUGACGCAGCGACGCCGCGUGGAGGAUGAAGGUCUUCGGAUUGUAAACUUCUGUUAGGUGGGAAGAAAAAUUUGUUUUUAAUACAGGCAAAAAAUGACGGUACCAUCAGAGAAAGCACUGGCUAACCUCGUGCCAGCAGCCGCGGUAAUACGAGGGGUGCAAGCGUUAUUCGGAAUCAUUGGGCGUAAAGGGUGCGUAGACGGUUUAUUAAGUCUGUUGUUUAAGACUCCGGCUUAACCGGAGAAAGGCGGCGGAAACUGAUAGGCUAGAGGGCGAGAGAGAGGAGUGGAAUUCCUGGAGUAGCGGUCAAAUGCGUAGAUCUCAGGGGGAACACCGAUGGCGAAGGCAGCUCCUUGGCUCGCAUCUGACGUUGAAGCACGAAAGCGUGGGGAGCAAACAGG
rnacentral:rRNA from 1 species